UAGUGAGUUUGAUCCUGGCUCAGGAUGAACGCUAGCGGCAGGCCUAAUACAUGCAAGUCGAACGGGUCGCAAGGCCAGUGGCAAACGGGUGCGUAACGCGUAAGCAACCUGCCUCAUACUGGGGGAUAGCCUGGCGAAAGCUGGGGUAAACCCGCACGGUCCCACUGAAUCACCUGGUUUGGUGGGUAAACAUUUAUGGGUAUGAGAGGGGCUUGCGUCUGAUUAGUUAGUUGGCAGGGUAACGGCCUACCAAGACGAUGAUCAGUAGGGGUUCUGAG
rnacentral:rRNA from 1 species